rnacentral:rRNA from 1 species
GACGAACGCUGGCGGCGUGCUUAACACAUGCAAGUCGAACGGAAAGGCCCUGCUUUUGUGGGGUGCUCGAGUGGCGAACGGGUGAGUAACACGUGAGUAACCUGCCCUUGACUUUGGGAUAACUUCAGGAAACUGGGGCUAAUACCGGAUAGGAGCUCCUGCUGCAUGGUGGGGGUUGGAAAGUUUCGGCGGUUGGGGAUGGACUCGCCGCUUAUCAGCUUGUUGGUGGGGUAGUGGCUUACCAAGGCUUUGACGGGUAGCCGGCCUGGGAGGGUGACCGGCCACAUUGGGACUGAGAUACGGCCCAGACUCCUACGGGAGGCAGCAGUGGGGAAUAUUGCACAAUGGGCGGAAGCCUGAUGCAGCAACGCCGCGUGCGGGAUGACGGCCUUCGGGUUGUAAACCGCUUUCGCCUGUGACGAAGCGUGAGUGACGGUAAUGGGUAAAGAAGCACCGGCUAACUACGUG